AACGAACGCUGGCGGCAUGCCUAACACAUGCAAGUCGAACGAGACCUUCGGGUCUAGUGGCGCACGGGUGCGUAACGCGUGGGAACCUGCCUUUAGGUUCGGAAUAACUCAGAGAAAUUUGAGCUAAUACCGGAUAAUGUCUUCGGACCAAAGAUUUAUCGCCUUUAGAUGGGCCCGCGUAAGAUUAGCUAGUUGGUGGGGUAAAGGCCUACCAAGGCGACGAUCUUUAGCUGGUCUGAGAGGAUGAUCAGCCACACUGGGACUGAGACACGGCCCAGACUCCUACGGGAGGCAGCAGUGGGGAAUAUUGGACAAUGGCGAAAGCCUGAUCCAGCAAUGCCGCGUGAGUGAUGAAGGCCUUAGGGUUGUAAAG
rnacentral:rRNA from 1 species